CCCUUAGAUGUUCUGGGCCGCACGCGCGCUACACUGUUCGACGCAGCGAGUCUUAACCUUGACCGAAAGGUUUGGGUAAUCUUCAGCAAAGUCGAACGUGAUGGGGAUCGAUCAUUGCAAUUAUUGAUCGUGAACGAGGAAUUCCUAGUAAGUGCAAGUCAUCAGCUUGCGCUGAUUACGUCCCUGCCCUUUGUACACACCGCCCGUCGCUACUACCGAUUGAAUGGUUUAGUGAGAUCUCUGGAUUGACGCUGGCUAGGGGGCGACCCUUGGCCAGACUGCUCGAGAAAAUGCUCAAACUUGAUCAUUUAGAGGAAGUAAAAGUCGUAACA
rnacentral:rRNA from 1 species